UACGUAGGUGACCAGCGUUGUCCGGAUUUACUGGGCGUAAAGCGUGCGUAGGUGGUUUGUUAAGUCUGAUGUGAAAGCCCUGGGCUCAACCUGGGAAUUGCAUUGGAUACUGGCAGGCUAGAGUGCGGUAGAGGAUGGCGGAAUUCCCGGUGUAGCAGUGAAAUGCGUAGAGAUCGGGAGGAACAUCUGUGGCGAAGGCGGCCAUCUGGACCAGCACUGACACUGAGGCACGAAAGCGUGGGGAGCAAACAGG
rnacentral:rRNA from 1 species